AAGAGUUUGCAACGCACAAUGCCACGAAGACGUGUUUUCAGGUUCAUUACUUGUCAGGUGUUAUAGAAGGGAUACUGCUGUAACUCAAGAUAACAAGAUAUGAUGAGAAGUCUUUUCCCAUUGCUCGUUCUGCAGAUGUGGAAUGUGACAGUUGGCGGCGAUGCUGCCGCACAGGACUGUGGUUCAGUGGUGAAUAACACUUUGAAAAGUCCAAAUUAUCCUGAAGGCUAUCCAGACAAUAUGGAGUGUGAAUUUAAAGUUCCUAUUCCAUCUGGAUUUAGAUUGAAAAUCACUUUUGAGUACAUGAGGUUGCC